rnacentral:antisense_RNA from 1 species
GAGACUAGGAAGGCGGAGCUAGGCUUCUGUUGUCAGGGCCUCGUGGAGACCUCCCGGGGUCCCGGGACGCAGAUGGACGGGCCUGAAUCGCUUGCCUUGCUGAAAUGGGAUCCAGCGCUGCUAACUGCGGCAACUGCGGUUAAAGGAGAUGACCCCGUGCAGCAGGAGGAGGUUAUUUAGAAUAAGGAAGAAUGCGCCGGGCUCAUUGGUCGCUCCAGGGGCAUAAAUUUUUUUCUAGGAUUCCAGAGUAUGGCGGUUCCAGUCCCAGAUUCGGCUCGACCUACAGACCUCAGCGCAGGACGUGGACGCCCUGCAAAGGAGGACAUUUCAGCGGACGGCAGAGAAUACAGAUCUAUGCCGGCGCCGUGCGGAAGGAGCCUCUGGCGGGUCAUCACCAUUUAUGGGAGAUCGCAGAGUGGUUCCCUCUCAGGAUCUUCACCUUCAGGAUUACUGCCAUUGACUGUUGAAACAAAGAGAGAAUUUAACAACUUCUGAGAGAUAUGACAACACCAGGCAGGAAAAAACAAGUCAGGUUUCUUAUGCCACAGCCACCUUGAAAGUCAAUCUGAGGAGUGGCGGAUACUGCCGUCGCACUCCUUUUCCAUACUUAUUGAGGGUGGGAUACAUAA